UCAUGUCAACCCUGACAGGAACCCCGUCCUCCUCAGGACCAGCACUUUGGCUUCAGGACAUAUGGGGCUGCGUCUAUGCUGACAGGAGCCCACAGCCCCCUCAGGACCCACGGUGAGUUUUCUGGGGGCCAUGGGGCCAUGUCCAGGCUGACAGGAGCCCCCGGCUUCCUGAGGACCUGCUGUGACGCUUUAGAGAAUGUGAGACAUAGUCCACAGUGACAGGAGACCCGGCGUCCUCAGGACCCGCUGACUAUGACUCAGGAACACGUUGGGCCAUGUCCACACUCACAGGAGCCCGGCUUGCUUGGACCCCCUGGAGGACUCUGGAGGAGCCGUUGGGGGCCACGUCUACAUCAGAAGGGACUCCUCAGAACCACAUGCUCAGUCACUCAUCAGGAAAUGCAUCUUUAUGGAUUUGGAAAGAACUGAGAGACAUUAUUACCAAUGGUCCUAUUAUUAUGUGAAGGAUUCUUCCCUGAGAUUCUUCCCCUGUUUCAACUGACACUGAAACACUGUGAACUCUUUGGAAGACAAAUGUCAGGGAAAUAAAUGUUAUGCAUUGAUAAUUUUAAAUGCACUAGCAAUAUGGUGUCUAUUAUACUAGAAUUAUUUUUAUCUGAUUUUUGCUAUUUAUUAUCCGUUCCUCCUUUUCAGGUUGAGGAGGCAUUAUACGUGUUCAUAAAUGUUUUUCUUUCCUUCUGAUAUAAAAUUCUUUGUUCCCAUCAAAGGAAUUCUUUAAGAAUAAGGCAAAAGUUAAUUCAACGAUUCUUAAAAUGUCUUCACACUUGGAGCCUGAUUCAUUUUAGUCAAUUUUCAAAAUAAAUCUUAUUUAUUAGGAAAAAAAACAAAGAUUUAUAGGGAAAUUGAGAAACUAGUACAGAGAAUUCUCAUGCACUUGCACUCAAUUUCUCCAAUUAUUGAUAUCUUAUAUCAGUACGGUACAAAUAUUAGCUAAUGAAUCAAUAUUAAAAUAUUCGCAAUAACCAAAGACCAUACUUUAUUCAGAUUUCCUUAGUUUUUGCUAAGUCACCACCCCUCAUAUGACAUUCCAUUUGUCCUCCUGUUUUCUUAGGCUCCUCUGGAUUGUGACAGUCUUUCAGCCUUUCCUUGUUUUUGUUGAACUGGAACACUUUGAGAAGUAGAGUAUUUUGUAAAAUUUCCCUCAGUUGGGACAUGUCUGUUGUUUAUCUCAUGAUUGAACUGUUUUUGUGGCUUAUAUACAGAGAUAUACUGCCAUUUUCAUUAUAUCAUAUAAAGGAUAGAUACUAUCAACAUGAUUUAUCAGUCUUGGCAUCGUUCUGGUCAUCUUGCUGAAGUAGGGUUUGUCAGCUUUCUCCGUAGUAAACUGAUUCUUUUAUUAUUAUUAUUAUUAUUAU
rnacentral:lncRNA from 1 species